AAGUAGCCAAAGAAAUGUGCUGUGGAAAACCUUCGUUUUACUGCAUUUUCGCCAGCUACUUUUGCUGCAGUUGUACUGGGAAGUGGGAAUUUCCCACUUGCAUGUCAUAAAUUUAAACUGGAACACCCAUAGAGUGGGAAAUCCCAGUUUGAAAAAUGGGAGAAUUCAGAAUUCAAGAUGGCAGCUACUCACCACAAGUCAACAGCCGCCCUGCGUCGUGGGGACUUUCCACUCUUCCCGCCCUCCGGGUUCAGCAUCCACCACGAGCUCUUCCCCGUCCCCUCGUUCUGGACCCGGACAAAUCGGCUGUGCAAGGACAGGUUGUGUCUAAUGGAGUUCUGAAGGGGAGUGAGAAAGACGGGGGAAAAACAAAACACACAAAAAAAAAGGGUUGUACCUGUGGAAAACUGCAGGCAGUGAGCCAGAGGCAGUCGCUGGCACACUGACCAUUGCGCUGACACACUCGGAGCUGCUCAAAUGUCACCUCGUCUGAUGAAAAAGUCCCCAAAGGAGCGCCACACCACCUACAUGCAGUGGCGCUUUGAAUCAGUCGAAGCCACAAGUGAAACCUCAGCUGCACAGUUCUUAAGAGUUAUGGGUACAGAGUGCAGCUCUGCUCCUUCCACGCUUACUGAAAGUGUGCGGCAGUUUGUUUGGAGAUCAG